rnacentral:rRNA from 1 species
UACAGAGGCUCCAAGCAUUAUCCGGAAUCACUGGGCGUAAAGGGUGUGUAGGCGGUCAUAUUAGUCUUUCGUGAAAGCUUCUGGGCUUAAACCAGAAAACGCGGAGGAAACGGUAUGGCUACGAGGACGUAAGAGGUAAAGGGAACUCAUGGUGUAGGGGUGAAAUCCGUUGAUAUCAUGGGGAACACCAAAUGCGAAGGCACUUUACUGGUACGCUCCUGACGCUGAAACACGAAAGCGUGGGAAUCGAACGGG